rnacentral:misc_RNA from 1 species
CCUUUCAUCAGGGAGCUGGGCGAUGGGCUUCUUGCCCUGCCCAGCCCUCUCUGAUUCUACCCAUGUCUUUUGCGUACUUUUUGUUUCCUUGGUGAGCUUGCCCACCGUUAGGACACCUAUACAACCUUUUGCAGUUGCAGUCAGCGUCAGUACAACCUGAAUAAAUUA